rnacentral:rRNA from 1 species
CAGCCGCCGCGGUAAUACAGAGGGUGCGAGCGUUAAUCGGAUUUACUGGGCGUAAAGCGUGCGUAGGCGGCUUCUUAAGUCGGAUGUGAAAUCCCUGAGCUUAACUUAGGAAUUGCAUUCGAUACUGGGAAGCUAGAGUAUGGGAGAGGAUGGUAGAAUUCCAGGCGUAGCGGUGAAAUGCGUAGAGAUCUGGAGGAAUACCGAUGGCGAAGGCAGCCAUCUGGCCUAAUACUGACGCUGAGGUACGAAAGCAUGGGGAGCAAACAGGAUUAGAUACCCCUGUAGUCCCUGUCUCUUAUAC